rnacentral:tRNA from 1 species
UGGGUUAUGGCUCAGUGGUAGAGCGCUCACCUAGCACGUGUGAGGUCCUGGGUUCGCUCCUCAGCACCACAU